CCACCAGCCACUAAGAGGACCCGUCCACACACAGGUAAACACUUAGCAAGCCACCAGCCACUAAGAGGACCCGUCCACACACAGGUAAACACUUAGCAAGCCACCAGCCACUAAGAGGACCCGUCCACACACAGGUAAACACUUAGCAAGCCACCAGCCACUAAGAGGACCCGUCCACACACAGGUAAACACUUAGCAAGCCACCAGCCACUAAGAGGACCCGUCCACACACAGGUAAACACUUAGCAAGCCACCAGCCACUAAGAGGACCCGUCCACACACAGGUAAACACUUAGCAAGCCACCAGCCACUAAGAGGACCCGUCCACACACAGGUAAACACUUAGCAAGCCACCAGCCACUAAGAGGACCCGUCCACACACAGGUAAACACUUAGCAAGCCACCAGCCACUAAGAGGACCCGUCCACACACAG